UGCAGUCGAACGCACAGCGAAAGGUGCUUGCACCUUUCAAGUGAGUGGCGAACGGGUGGGUAACACGUGGACAACCUGCCUCAAGGCUGGGGAUAACAUUUGGAAACAGAUGCUAAUACCGAAUGAAACUUAGUGUCGCAUGACACGAAGUUAAAAGGCGCUUUGGCGUCACCUAGAGAUGGAUCCGCGGUGCAUUAGUUAGUUGGUGGGGUAAAGGCCUACCAAGACAAUGAUGCAUAGCCGAGUUGAGAGACUGAUCGGCCACAUUGGGACUGAGACACGGCCCAAACUCCUACGGGAGGCUGCAGUAGGGAAUCUUCCACAAUGGGCGAAAGCCUGAUGGAGCAACGCCGCGUGUGUGAUGAAGGCUUUCGGGUCGUAAAGCACUGUUGUAUGGGAAGAACAGCUAGAAUAGGGAAUGAUUUUAGUUUGACGGUACCAUACCAGAAAGGGACGGCUAAAUACGUGCCAGCAGCCGCGGUAAUACGUAUGUCCCGAGCGUUAUCCGGAUUUAUUGGGCGUAAAGCGAGCGCAGACGGUUGAUUAAGUCUGAUGUGAAAGCCCGGAGCUCAACUCCGGAAUGGCAUUGGAAACUGGUUAACUUGAGUGCAGUAGAGGUAAGUGGAACUCCAUGUGUAGCGGUGAAAUGCGUAGAUAUAUGGAAGAACACCAGUGGCGAAGGCGGCUUACUGGACUGUAACUGACGUUGAGGCUCGAAAGUGUGGGUAGCAAACAGGAUUAGAUACCCUGGUAGUCCACACCGUAAACGAUGAACACUAGGUGUUAGGAGGUUUCCGCCUCUUAGU
rnacentral:rRNA from 1 species